rnacentral:rRNA from 1 species
AUUGAACGCUGGCGGCAUGCCUUACACAUGCAAGUCGAACGGUAACGCGGGGCAACCUGGCGACGAGUGGCGAACGGGUGAGUAAUGCAUCGGAACGUGCCCAGUAGUGGGGGAUAGCCCGGCGAAAGCCGGAUUAAUACCGCAUACGACCUACGGGUGAAAGGGGGGGAUCGCAAGACCUCUCGCUAUUGGAGCGGCCGAUGUCAGAUUAGCUAGUUGGUGGGGUAAAGGCCUACCAAGGCGACGAUCUGUAGCUGGGCUGAGGGGACGACCAGCCACGCUGGGGCUGAGACACGGCCCAGACUCCUACGGGAGGCAGCAGUGGGGAAUUUUGGACAAUGGGCGAAAGCCUGAUCCAGCCAUGCCGCGUGCGGGAAGAAGGCCUUCGGGUUGUAAACCGCUUUUGUCAGGGAAGAAAUCUUCUGAGUUAAUACCUCGGGAGGAUGACGGUACCUGAAGAAUAAGCACCGGCUAACUACGUGCCAGCCGCCGCAGUAA